rnacentral:lncRNA from 1 species
CUCUGAUUCAAGAACAACAGGUGGCUCCCCAAAAAGGCUGAGCAAUUUUAUAGGAUGAGAAAAAGCCUACGAAUGAUCAUUUACUAAGCAUUUACCUUAUGCUUCAUUAAUGUUGCUAUGAAAGUACUAUAAGAUCCUAAUUUUUGUAUUCCAAAAGUUCCCGCUUUUGUUAACAUUUCCACCCUCUCUCCUCAAAAAUAUAUAUAAAAGGAAUUUUACCACAGUGUAAUCCAUAAAAACCACACCUUUCUGAUCUAGGUAAUGGCUAUCCCACAUUGCUUCAGGCUAAUUUAUCAAUAAAUACUUAUUGAGCACCAUGCUGCCUUUCUUUUGGAUAUGUACCUAGUGGUAGAAUUGCUGGAGCACAUGGUAGUUCUAUUUUCAGUUUUUUGACAAACCUCCAUACUGUUCUCCGUAGUGGCUAUACUAAUUCACAUUCCCACCAACAGUGUAUGAGGAUUCCCCUUUCUCCACAUCCUUUCCAGCAUCUGUUAGUGCCUGUCUUUUUGAUUCAAGCCAUUUUAACUGGGGUGAGAUGAUAUCACAUUAUGAUAUUGAUUUGCAUGUCUCUGAUGAUUAGUGAUACUGAACAUUUUUUCUUACACCUGUUGGCAAUUCGUAUGUCUCCUUUUGAGAAAUGUCUGUUCAAAUUUUUUGCCCAUUACUAAAUUGGAUUUUUUUUUUACUAUUGAGUUGUUUAAGCUCCUUAUGUAUUCUUAUUAUUGAUCCCUUAUCAGGUGAAUAGUUUGCAAAUAUUUUCUCCCAUUCUCCCAUUCUGUGGAUUGUCUAUUCACUUUGUUGACUGUUUCCUUUGCUGUACAGAAACUUUUUAGCUUGAUGUAAUCCCAAUUGUCUAUUUUUGCUUUGGUUGCCUGUGCUUCUGAGGUCUUAUACAAGAAAUCUUUGCCCAGACCAACAUCUCAAAGUAUUUGCCCAAUGCUUUCUCCUAGGAGUUUCACAGUUUCAGGUGUUAGGUUCAACUCUUUAAUCCAUUUUGAUUUGAUAUUUUUGUAUAGUGAGAGAUGGGGGUCUAGUUUCAUUCUUCUGCAUAGUUAUGCUGUUUUCUCAGCACCAUUUUUUUUGAAAAGACUGGACUUUUCCCAUUCUAAGUUUUUGGUGCUUUUGUCAAAGAUGAGUUGGUUAUAAAUGCAUGAAUUUAUAACUGGGUUCUCUAUUCUGUUCCACUGGUCUAUGUGUCUGCUUUUAUGCCAGUACCACGCUGUUUUGGUUACUAUGCUUUUGUAAUAAGUUUUGAAGUCCGGUAUUGUGAUCCCUCCAGCUUUGUUUUUUGGUUUGGGGGUUUUUGUGUUUCAGGGUAUGUUUGUGUGUGUGGUGUGUGUGUGUGUGUGAAGGGUCUCACUCUGUUUUGUGUGUGUGUGUGUGUGUGUGUGUGUGUGUGUGUGUGAAGGGUCUCACUCUGUUGCCCAGGCUGGAGUGCAGUGGUGCACUCAUAGCUCACUGCAGGCUCGAACUCCUGGCCUCAUGCAGUUCUCCCAUUUUGGCCUCCCAAAGUGCUGAGAUUACAGGUAUAAGCCACUAUGCCCAACCCAGCUUUGUUCUUUAUGCUCAGGAUUGCUUUGCCUAUUCAGGGUCUUUUGUGGUUCUAUAUAAAUGUUAGGUUUGUUUUUUUUUUUUCUCUUUUUGUGAAGAAUGUCAUCGGUAUUUUGAUAGGGAUUGCAUUGAAUCUGUAAGUAGUUUGUAGUAGUAUUGUCAUUUUAACAAUAUUAUUCUUCCAAUCCAUGAGCAUGGAAUAUAUUUCCACUUUUUGGUGUCCUCUUCUGUUUCUUUCAUCAGAAUUUUAUUUCCUUGUACAGAACUUUUAUUUCUUUGGUUAGAUUGAUUCCUAGGUAUUUUAUAUUUUUUGCAGCUAUUGUAAAUGGGAUUACUUUCUUGAUUUUUCAGAUUGUUCACUGUUGGCACAUAUAAAUGCUACUGAUUUUUGUAUGUUGAUUUUGUAACCUGCAACUUUACUGAAUUUGUUUUAUGUUCUAUCAGUUUUUUGGUGGAGUUUUUAGGUCUUUCUAAGUAAUAAGAUCAUGUCCUCUUCAAACAAGGUUAACUUGACUUCUUCCUUUACAAUUUGGAUGCCCUUUUAUUCUUUCUUUGCCUAGUUGCUCUGACCAGGACUUCCAGUAUCAUGUUGAAUAAAAGUGGUAAAAGUGGGCAAUUCUUAUCUUGUACCAGUCUUUAGAGAAAAGGCCUUCAAAUUUUCCCCUUUCGGUCUGAUGUUAGCCAUGAGUUUGACAUAGAUGGCCUUUAAUAAUUUGAGGUAUGUUCCUUCUAUAUCCAUUUUGAUGAGGGUUUUUAUGAUAAAGGGAUGAAUUUUAUCAAAUACUUUUUGACAUCUAUUGAAAAAAUUAUAUGGUUUUUGUUAUUGAUUCUGCUAAUAUGGUACAUCAUGUUUAUUUCUGUAAAUUUAAUCAUUUUUGAAGCAUCCCUGGGAUGAGUCCCACUUGAUCAUAGUCAAUGAUCCUUUGAUGUAUUAUAGGAUUCACUUUGCUAGUGUUUUGUUGAGGAUUUUUGCAUGUAUGUUCAUCAGUGAUAUUCGUCUGUAGUUUUCUUUUGUUGUGUGUCCUUGUCUAGUUUUGGUAUCAGGGUAACGCUGACCUUAUGGGUCUGGAAGUAUUCCCUCUUCUUCAGUUUUUUUUUUUUUUUUUGAAGAGUUUGAGUAGGAUUGAUAUUAGCUCUUCUUUAAAUGUUAGUUUGAAUUCUCCUGUGAAUCCAUCAGGUCCUAGGCUUUUCCUUGAUGGAAGACAUUUUAUUAUACCUUUGAUCUCAUUACUAGCUAUUGGUUUGUUGAGGUUUUCUAUUUCUUCACAAUUCACUCUUGGUAUGUUGUACAUAGAAUAGAAGAUGAAAAGUAUAAUUUCAUUUCUUCAUUUAUUCAUUUCUUCCAGGUUUUCCAAUUUAUUAGUUUAUGCUUGUUCAUAAUAGUCUCUAAUGAUUCUUCGUAUUUCUGAAGUCUCAGUCGUUAUGUCUCCUUUUUUCAUUUCUGAUUUUAUUCAUUUGGGUCUUCUCACGUUUCUUCUUAGUCUAGCUAAAGGUUUAUCAGUUUUGUUUAUCUUUUCAAAAAACCAACUUCUCAUUUUGUUGAUCUUCUGUAUUUUUUGGCUCAAUUUCGCUUAUUUCUUCUCUGAUCUUUAUUAUUUCUUUCCUUCCACCUAUUUUGGGUUUGGUUUGUUCUUGCUUUUCUAGUUCCUUGAGGUGCAUUAUUGGGUUGUUUCUUUGGAAUAUUUCUACUUUUUUGUUAUAAGUGUUUUUGCUAUAAACUUCCCUCUUAGUACUGCUUUUGCCAUACCCUAUAGAUUUUGGUAUGUUGUAUUUCCAUUUUCAUUUGCUUCAAGAAAUUUUUAAAUUUCCUUCUUAAUUUCUUCAUUGACCCCUUGGUCAAGGAGCAUGUUGUUUAAUUCCAUGUGUAUGCAUAUUUUCCAAGGUUCCUCUUGUUAUUGAUUUCUAGUUUUAUUACAUUAUGUUCAGAGAAGAUACUUUACCCUAUCUCUUCCAAAAAAAAUGCAAAAAUUUAGCUAGGUGUGGUGGUGUGAACUUGAGUCCCAGCUACCUGGGAGACUGAGGCAGGAGGAUCACCUGAACCCAAGGAGAUCAAGGCUGAAGUGAGCUGUGAUUGUGUCACUGCAUUCCAGCCUGGGAGAUAGUGAGACUCUGUCUCAAAAGAAAAAGGGCAGGAUGGGGGAGGGGACAAAAAGCAUUCUUAGUUUAAGAAUAGGUUUUGCUUUAAAAAUCAUAGUACACUCAUAAAUUCUUGCUGAAAUCAAUAAUUACACAAGAGAAUAACAAUACUAAUAGCCUGUCGUAAAUUGACCCCAAGUCUUUUUAAUAAAGCACACUUUUUUUUAAUUAUACUUUAAGUUCUGGGAUACACAUACAGAAUGUGGUUUGUUACGUAGGUAUACAUGUGUCAUGGUGGUUUGCUGCACCCAUCAACCCAGCAUCUAUAUUAGGUAUUUCUCCUAAUGCUGUCCCUCCUCCUGCCCCCUGACAGGCCCCAGUGUGUGAUGUUCCCCUCCCUUUGUCCAUGUGUUCUCAUUGUUCAACUCCCACUUAUGAGUGAGAACAUGUGGUGUUUGGUUUUCUGUUCCUGUGUUAGUUUGCUGAGAAUGAUGGUUUCCAGCUUCAUCCACGUCCCCGCAAAGGACAUGAACUCAUUCUUUUUUAUGGCCACAUAGUAUUCCAUGGUGUAUAUGUGCCACAUUUUUUUUAUCCAGUCUAUCAUUGAUGGGCAUUUGAGUUGGUUCCAAGUCUUUGCUAUUGUAAAUAGUGCUGCAAUAAACAUACGAUAAAGCACAUUAUUCUUAGCCCUUAUGUAAUCAAAAAUCAGGUUCAGUCACAUGCCACUUACAGAGUCCAGUUAACAAGAGCAAGAUCUGGUAUAAAGAAAGUGACUUUUGGCUGGGCACGGUGGCUCAUGCCUGUAAUCCCAGCACUUUGGAGGCCG